GUGUCAGCCGCCGCGGUAAUACGGAGGGUGCAAGCGUUAUCCGGAUUUACUGGGUUUAAAGGGUGCGUAGGCGGGCAUGUAAGUCAGUGGUGAAAUACCGGAGCUUAACUUCGGAACUGCCAUUGAUACUAUAUGUCUUGAAUAUUGUGGAGGUAAGCGGAAUAUGUCAUGUAGCGGUGAAAUGCAUAGAUAUGACAUAGAACACCGAUUGCGGAGGCAGCUUGCUACACAAAUAUUGACGCUGAGGCACGAAAGCGUGGGGAUCAAACAGGAUUAGAUACCCUGGUAGUCCACGCCCUAAACGAUGAUUACUCGACAUUAGCGAUAAACAGUUAGUGUCUGAGCGAAAGCAUUAAGUAAUCCACCUGGGAAGUACGACCGCAAGGUUGAA
rnacentral:rRNA from 1 species